rnacentral:rRNA from 1 species
UUUAUUGUUAAUAAUUAAAAUUUAAGUUAUUAAUAAUUUAAUUGGGGCGAUGAAAAAAGAAUAAGUAUCUUUUUAGUUAUAAAAUAAGUUCCGUUUUUAGCGAUUAAAUGAAAUAAAUACUCUAGGGAUAACAGCGUAAUAAUUUUGGAUAGUUCAUAUAGAUAAAAUAGUUUGCGACCUCGAUGUUGGAUUAGGAUUCUUUUUUAGUGAAGAAGUUAAAGAAAGAAGUUUGUUCAACUUUU